rnacentral:rRNA from 1 species
UACGUAGGGGGCGAGCGUUGUCCGAAGUUACUGGGCGUAAAGCGCGCGUAGGCGGGUUCUUAAGUGAGGGGUGAAAGGUUUGGGCUUAACCCAAACACUGCCUUUCAUACUGGGAGCCUUGAGUAUGGGAGAGGCGAGUGGAAUGGUCGGUGUAGCGGCGAAAUGCGUAGAUAUCGAUCGGAACACCCAUGGCGAAGGCAGCUCGUUGGCCUAAAACUGACGCUGAGGCGCGAAAGCGUGGGGAGCAAACAGG